CAGCGCCACGAGUGGCAAUCAUGUUUACUUGGCCUAAAGCGUCCGUAGCCGGUUUGAUAAAUCCUUCGUGAAAUUGUUAAGCUCAACUUAACAUCGUGCGGAAGACACUAUCUUACUUGGGACCGGGAGGAGUCAGAGGUAUUCUUUGGGGAGCGGUAAAAUGCUAUAAUCCUUAGAGGACCACCUGUGGCGAAGGCGUCUGACCAGAACGGAUCCGACGGUGAGGGACGAAAGCUAGGGGAGCGAACCGGAUUAGAUACCCGAGUAGUCC
rnacentral:rRNA from 1 species